UAGGGCCCAAGCCAGCCAGGAAGGAGGAGGCAGCCAGAGUGGCCACCACUGUUCUCUGCAGCAGAAGAGCCCUUGCUGCCAGGCUGCAAAGGCUGCGGACCUUCCUGCGCAAGCGGAGGCCCAAGUCUGGUCCACCAGAAGGAAGCAGCAAAAGAUAAGAAGAGGGUGCCACAGUGCCCAUGGCUGCUCAUCCCAAGAGCUGGCACUUGAUAGCCUGCUGCAGAAAGCCAAGAGACCACCAGGAUCUUGAACGGCAGGGGAGUUUUGGCAUCAGCACUCCAUCAGCCCCUCCCAGAACCAAAUGGUACCAUCUGUGCAGGCAGAGGGAGGCUGUCACUGUCAAGGAUGGGGGAGAAGCACACAAACUCUGGCAGUGCUUCAGAUUCCCAAACAAGCACUCUGAGAAUCAUAAGCUGCCAGAGACUCAGGUGAAGGAAGAGAAACCACCAAAGUCAGUGGACAGCUCAACAGAGAGGGUCUGAAUAUGGGAAGAAAUGGGCCACACAAAAACAGGCAUAGCUCGAGAGCACUUGGAAACCAGUCUGGAGAUUCAUUAGGCAGCAGUAUGCACUGCACCCUCAUCUCCUCAGAUGAAUCAGAGCUGGAGGACCUAAAACUGGGUGAGGAGCUCAUGGUGGACCACUCCACACAGACGGUCUGGGAAGACCUGAGCGAUACUAGGAGGCAAAGCUCCAGAGCAGAUUGGAACCAGUCUGGAGUGAGCAGUAUGCACUGCUCCCUCGUCUCCUCAGACCAAUCCCAGCUGGAGGACCUUAAACUGCAUGAGGAGCUAAUGGUGCUCAGCCCAACAGAGCGGGUCUCCAGAUGGGAAAACAUGGGCUACACGGACAGCCAAAGCUCCAGAGCGGUUUGGAACCAGUUUGGAGAUUCAUCAGUGAGCAGCAUGCACUGCUCAGUCGUCUCCUCAGACCAAUCCCAGCUGGAGGACCUUAAACUGCAUGAGGAGCUAAUGGUGGUCAGCCCAACAGAGCGGGUCUCCAGAUGGGAAGACAUGGGCUACACGGACAGCCAAAGCUCCAGAGCGGUUUGGAACCAGUUUGGAGAUUCAUCAGUCAGCAGCAUGCACUGCUCCCUUUUCUCCUCCAGCUCCUACCAGUCUGAGGUGGAGGACUGCAAAGUGGAUGAGGAGCUCAUCAAAAUCAUCCACAGGCUUAUGGAGGACAGAGAGGAGAGAGCCAACAAUCAGGAUGAGGAUGUCCAUUUCCUCGCGGUCCUCUGUGCUUGCUGCAAGGCUGCAUAUAAGAGCGGCCAGGAGACUCUGGAUCUCCCCUACACCAAAGGAGAAUUGAUAAAGGCAAUCGUGGCCAGAGCAGCAGAAACGCUUGGGAGCUGUGGAGCCGGAGACGGCAGGAGGAUGGAAGAAUACUGGCCUAUCUCAAUGCAGCCAGAGUUGGGGAGGAGGUGGAAAUCAGGAGGAAAAUCUGGCAUUGUCUCCGCCAAUUCAAGGACAGCAAAGGGCUGCCGAAGAACUCCAAGGUCUCUAUGAAAACCAAGGUAAAAGAGGCUCAUAUACUUCCAAGCACUGAGGCUUGUCAUCUUUGAAACCUGGUGUCAUGCCUCUGUCCUCAGAUUGUGAAGAGGAAGGGAAAGCUGGCAGUCCACCAGCAGCUGCAGGGGAACCUGAAGGGCAGAGUCCAGCUGUCAGCCCACAGCAGAUACCUGAGGCAGGUCCAGUUGAAGCUUCAGGACAAAUGGAACCAUCAGAGAUAGCACUCGUAGACAGGGAAUAGAGAGCAGGACACUGAGGUAAAUGGUGAAGCACCUUUGCAUCCUCGCGAGAGAAGACUGAUGAGACGCAGACAACAGGUGGAAGAACUCAGGAGAAGUAGAUGCCUGCUCCACAAGCCAGAUCAACCCUGAAUCUGUGUCAGCUGGCCGAAGGUGGAGAGCAAUUAAGCCCGGCUAUAAAUCAAGUCCGAAAGCUGCAGCUAAACGCUGAUAGCAACACGUCUCUUUUUCCUGGGUAUGUCAUCACAUGCCUGUCCAUGCCAAAGGGGGGUUACCCAUGAUCCCUAUUCCUUUAAAUAGUACUGAACUGUCUGCUUAUGAUUAUGCUACAUGGGGAACGAAGCCAAAUACCACCUGGGCAGAUAUGCAAGAUGAGACUUGUUUGUGCCUAUAUGUGCAGCCUAAGGAAGGAGAGUUUUGUUUCCAGUGUAAUGGCACAGGUUAUAAAGUGAGAAAUAGCUCCUGUGAAGUCACCUUUGUAAAGAAUGGGGCUAACAUAAACGGCUCUUACAAACCAAAUGUCAUUCCUUUUGAUUACUCCAUUCAAGGCUAUUAUGAACAGAUAGCCCUCUACAUCCAAACCUGCAACACAGGAUAUAUGGCCCUGGUGGGACACUCUUUUGUAUGUGGCAAUAGAACCUAUAGGACUUUACCUCCAAACUGGUCUGGAAGAUCUUAUGUAGCUCAGUUAUGGCCUACAGUUACAAUUACCCAACACUAUCCUAAAGAAGGAAUGCGAAAUCAGCGGGAUUUGGGCUCUGCCCAAGAUAUAGUGGGCAACAGAACCCCUUUAACAGUGGCUGAUGCAAUAGGAUGGUCCUUCCUCCCACCGGUAGGAGUGGCCAGAGUUGGAGGUGCUGUUAUUAGGCUCCAGGCAGUAGUGGAGGUUUUGGUCAAUGAAACAGGAGAAGCCUUUCUUUCUUUGGCAAAGGAACAAAGGAAGAUUAGGCAAAUGACCCUGCAAAAUAGAUUGGCUUUGGACUACUUCUUGGCUUCUAAGGGUGGUGUUUGUGCCCUUGUAGGGAAAGAAUGUUGUAUAUAUAUUCCUGACAAUUUUGAUGAAACCUUUGACCAUAUGCAGAAGACCCAACAAGUGGUCUAUGUACCCCCAGAUCACACUGGGGAUACUUGGUCUCGGUUCAUGGUCUUGGCUGCCAGAUUUGGGAGCCCAGGGAAGGAAAAAAUUAGCAGUUUGUUUUAUUAUCCUAAUUUCCAUUGCUUUAUUAUUAUUAUUAUUAUUAUUAUUAUUUACAUUUAUAUCCCGCUCUUCCUCCAAUGAGCCCAGAGCAGUGUACUACAUACUUGAGUUUCUUUUUCACAACAACCCUGUGAAGUAGGUUAUGCUGAGAGGAUGUGACUGGCCCAAAGUCACCCAGCUAGUUUUAUGGCUGAAUGGGGAUUUGAACCCGGGUCUCCCCGGUCCUAGUCCAGCACUCUAACCACUACACCACGCUGGCUUUUAUAUGUUGGGGUCAUGUUAUUGAAAUGCUGUAUGCAAACUCUAAACAGAUCUGAUGCUAUUUAUGCCUGCCUCACUCGAGCUGAACUGCACGAAAUUCCUACCAAGUUGCGCAAACAUGAGGCAUGCCUUCAGAUGUGUGAAGUGCAAAAGUGAGGCUUAAUGUAUUCACAUGGAGCCUCAAAGGCGGGGAAUGAUGAAGAAAAACUUUAUUUGGGUCUGGUUUGGGCCUAGUCAAAAAUCUAGGCAAGGCCUGUAAGUUUGGAUUUCAGUGCUCCUGAAGGGUUGCUAUGGUAACACAAUGUAUCAUUGUGCUGUUUGGAGGGAAUUGAAGGAGAUGGGAUGACAUAAGAACUGCUGGCAAAUGGGUGGAAGGAUGUAUAGUUCAAGUAUGAGUGUCUCAUACGAAAAGGAAGAAAAGGUGUUGGACUUCUGGUUCCAGAACACUGAAGGGAGGACGCACUAGAAGCAGCUCUGGUAGUAGUUUUUUGCCGAUAUGUCUAAUUCUUUGCUCCGAUUAAGAUAAAGGAAAAUUUAUUACCUUAUCUUGUUUGCUGGACUUUGCUGGAAACUGGGCUGACCAUAAAUCUUCUCUAAAUUGAGACAACUGUUGUCAAGAACCUUGAUAAGACAUUCUCUGUUUUGCCUCAGCUGCGUUGCUAAUAACUGAGUCAGCAAUGGUCAAAAAUAAAAGACUUCGACAGAGCUCUUCUUCUAGUCUAAUGCUGGGAGAUUCUCCAGAUUUUGCAGAAGGUGAACAAAAUGCUAAGCAAUCCUGUUUGGAUGAUUAUUUUAUCUGCAGAACUGAUGUUUCUCAAUCCCCUUUGGGAAUAAGGCAAAAUAAAGUACAAGAACCCCAGGUGAUAACUUUGCUGGAGGAUGUUGGCAGCAAUCCAAAGAAUCCUGAAGAUAAGACCUCAGCUAGCCCAGCCAAGCCUAUAUCAGAAUUAAGCUGGCUAACUACUACUCUCUCUCAAUUCUAUAAAUUGACUGCUAGCACCUUAAAAUUGAUAUUGGAGAAUAUGCAUAAGCUUGAUAGGCAGUUGAGUAAACUAUCACCCCUAUCACCUCUAUUACAACAGACUGGCAACUCUUAUGAUGUGUGCUCCUAAUUCCAAUUACUUUCUGCCCCAUUUGGCAAUGUUUAAAGCUGAGGAUAGAUCUCAGUCUUUCCUUCAAGCAAGUUCAGAAGCACAUCUCUCCAAAUCCAAUUAUGUGUUGCAGCCUAAUAAUGUUAUGCUAUCAAUAUCAAAGAUCCCAAUAAACAAUAACAAAUGGCACCA